rnacentral:rRNA from 1 species
GUGCCAGCAGCCGCGGUAAUACGUAGGGCGCAAGCGUUAUCCGGAAUUAUUGGGCGUAAAGAGCUCGUAGGCGGUUUGUCGCGUCUGCUGUGAAAACUGGAGGCUCAACCUCCAGCCUGCAGUGGGUACGGGCAGACUAGAGUGCGGUAGGGGAGAUUGGAAUUCCUGGUGUAGCGGUGGAAUGCGCAGAUAUCAGGAGGAACACCGAUGGCGAAGGCAGAUCUCUGGGCCGUAACUGACGCUGAGGAGCGAAAGAGUGGGGAGCAGACAGGCUUAGAUACCCUGGUAGUCCACUCCGUAAACGUUGGGAACUAGUUGUGGGGGCCUUUCCACGGUCUCCGUGACGCAGCUAACGCAUUAAGUUCCCCGCCUGGGGAGUACGGCCGCAAGGCUAAAACUCAAAGGAAUUGACGGGGACCCGCACAAGCGGCGGAGCAUGCGGAUUAAUUCGAUGCAACGCGAAGAACCUUACCAAGGCUUGACAUAUACAGGUAACGGCCAGAGAUGGUCGCCCCCUUGUGGUCUGUAUACAGGUGGUGCAUGGUUGUCGUCAGCUCGUGUCGUGAGAUGUUGGGUUAAGUCCCGCAACGAGCGCAACCCUCGUUCUAUGUUGCCAGCACGUUAUGGUGGGAACUCAUGGAAUACUGCCGGGGU